rnacentral:rRNA from 1 species
GAUGAACGCUAGCGGCAGGCUUAAUACAUGCAAGUCGAGGGGCAGCAGGACUGUAGCAAUACAGUUGCUGGCGACCGGCAAACGGGUGCGGAACACGUACGCAACCUUCCUUUAAGUGGGGAAUAGCCCAGGGAAACUUGGAUUAAUACCUCGUAACAUUAUGAAAUGGCAUCAUUUUAUAAUUAUAGCUCCGGCGCUUAAAGAUGGGCGUGCGACUGAUUAGGUAGUUGGCGGGGUAACGGCCCACCAAGCCUUCGAUCAGUAACUGGUGUGAGAGCACGACCAGUCACACGGGCACUGUGACACGAGCCCGACUCCUACGGGAGGCAGCAGUAAGGAAUAUUGGUCAAUGGACGCAAGUCUGAACCAGCCAUGCCGCGUGGAGGAUGAAGGUCCUCUGGAUUGUAAACUCCUUUUAUCUGGGAAGAAACCCAUAUUUUCUAGUGUGGUUGACGGUACCAGAUGAAUAAGCACCGGCUAACUCCGUGCCAGCCGCCGCUGUAAAAC